UUAAAUUGAAGAGUUUGAUCAUGGCUCAGAUUGAACGCUGGCGGCAGGCCUAACACAUGCAAGUCGAACGGUAACAGAGAGUAGCUUGCUACUCUGCUGACGAGUGGCGGACGGGUGAGUAAUG
rnacentral:rRNA from 1 species